AAGAAACUGAUUAAAAAAAAGCAAAAGAAGCAGCACAGUGAGCUGCCCCUUUCCUCUUCGCAAGAAAAGUAAAGUUCUUUGCGCCUCCCCAACUCAAUCUCCACCAGCACCACUACUACUACUACUUCUGCUUCUUCUUCAAAGUUUUGACCUUUACUUCCUGACCUUCUACUUCAUCAUCUUCACUUCGAUGGAUCGUCGUCUGCUCCUCUACGGCACCAUUCUCACUCUCCUCGCCUUCUCUUUUCUCUCAGAGAUACACUCUGCUUCAUUCAAGAUAGUCAACAAGUGCCGGCGCACGAUAUGGCCUGGGUUUCUAUCCGGCGCCAAUACGCCUCAGCUCCCCACCACCGGAUUUUCACUCAGGAGUGGAAAAUCCAAGACCGUAUCCAUACCCAAGCAUUGGUCUGGUCGGAUUUGGGGUCGGACUCUAUGCGGCGAGGACUCCACCGGGAAGUUCUCUUGCACGACCGCGGACUGCGGGUCCGGGAAGGUCGAGUGCACCGGGAGUGGCGCUAAGCCACCGGCGACGCUUGCGGAGUUCACGCUGAACGGGGAUGGAGGGUUAGACUUCUACGACGUCAGCUUGGUCGAUGGGUACAACCUCCCGAUGCUCGUUGUGCCCAGGGGAGGUACCGGCGGAGGAUGCAGCGCCACCGGGUGCUUGGUGGACCUAAACGGGGCUUGCCCGUCGGCCUUAAGGGUGGCGCGUGAGAACGGGAGGGGUACAGUGGCUUGCAGGAGCGCGUGCGAGACCUUUGCUGAUCCGAGAUUUUGUUGCAGUGAGGCAUACUCUACGCCCGAUACGUGCGGGCCGUCUAUUUAUUCGUUGUUUUUUAAGUACGCUUGCCCACGCGCGUAUAGCUACGCGUACGAUGACAAAACUAGUACCUACACCUGCGCUUCCGCUGAUUAUAUGAUCAUAUUUUGCCCGUCACCUUAUACCAGAUGCAUCAGCUUGUGCGCCAUCCCGGUUUGCUUUUUUUGUUCUUUUUUUUUUAUUUUCCUGUUUUAAAGGUAAAAAUUGAAAAAGAAAUUGGUAAAACCUUGUGUUAGAGAUAUGGCUCAUAUGAAUUAAGCAGCUGAGAUUAGGAAUAAUAUAAAUACAUAUGUGGUGGUGACCCUGUGCUAAUGAAAUACUUGUCACUCAAUUAAGAAGCUUAGAUUGACAAUCUCAACACCUUGUUAUCACUGUGUUUUUUUUUUUUCCUCAACUCUGCUCCGGGACACCCAGGCCAAUAAAAAAAAGUUAUAACUGUGUUUUUUCUUGAAGCAUGAAAAUAAGGUUGUAAUAAAACAAACACUGGAACACUUAGCGGGAAGGGUGUCCUAUGUGUUGAAGUGGUUUCAUGCAGUUUAGGCUUAAAAAAACCUGUAGAAAGAUUACCAGGAUUAGUUUCUUGCAAUGUAGGCAGACCUGAAUUAGUACCCAAAAGAAGCAGUGAAGUUGGAUCUGUCAGCAAAUUUAAAUUGAUUUCAUCAUCUGGAAACUGAAUCCUAAAAUUGAUUGCUUGUGAGAUGGCACAAUGUUUUUCCAUUUAGGUGGGCAUCUGCGAGUAUAUAUAUGAACACUAUGCUGAUUACUCUCAAUCAGCUACUUAAGGUCAAUUCUUUGGAUUGGAUGUACUCAACUUCGCUUGAAUUUGAUCUCUUUAACAGAAUUGAAUACCAUAACAAAUGCUGUGCUUAAUCUUACAACAACUAUGGUAGUCAAUCUAGUGAAUUACGAGGACAGUUGGCAUGUUUACAUUUUCCAUAGAGCCAAAAGUUGCUCGGAGCUCGAAAGGAUGGGGCACAGCUACCACUAGUGAACAAGACCACAAUGUACAUGGCAAGCCAACACGCUUCAUCCUCAGGCAGAUAGUACCACGCCAAAGAAGUGGUGUCAUCUUCUCUGUCGUGCAAUCUUUCUGCUUGUCUUCCACUCCUUCCAGUUGUUGGGUAAAUAGAUCACGCGGCUAAGAUGCAGAUUGGCCGUAUGGGGCAUGCGGCUAAGAUACAGAUUGGCCGUAUGGGGAGGGAGGGUUUCUCAAAAUGGCUAAAAAAGUUUUGUAUAUAGCUUCCUUUGCUUGAUUGUAUAGCCCAUAAUAGGGGUUGUCCACAUCUUAUAUAUACCAGCACCAUUCCACCAUUUUAUAUAAAGAAAAUUAUUGUAGUUAGAAGCCUUGAACUGUGGUAAGGUAUCUUUCUUCACUGAAUAAUGAUGUUCGUUCAAUUAUUUUAUAAA